rnacentral:rRNA from 1 species
AGUGAACGCUGGCGGCAGGCCUAACACAUGCAAGUCGAGCGGCAGCGCGUCCGACCACCCUCGGGUGGUCGGAUGGCGGCGAGCGGCGGACGGGUGAGGAAUGCAUCGGAAUCUGCCUCGUUGUGGGGGAUAACGUAGGGAAACUUACGCUAAUACCGCAUACGACCUACGGGUGAAAGUGGGGGACCUUCGGGCCUCACGCGAUGAGAUGAGCCGAUGCCGGAUUAGCUAGUUGGCGGGGUAAAGGCCCACCAAGGCGACGAUCCGUAGCUGGUCUGAGAGGAUGAUCAGCCACACUGGAACUGAGACACGGUCCAGACUCCUACGGGAGGCAGCAGUGGGGAAUAUUGGACAAUGGGCGCAAGCCUGAUCCAGCAAUGCCGCGUGCAGGAAGAAGGCC